rnacentral:tRNA from 1 species
GGGUCGUUAGCUCAGUUGGUAUCAGUUGGUAGAGCAGUUGACUUUUAAUCAAUUGGUCGCAGGUUCGAAUCCUGCACGACCCACCA